CUGAAACACUGGUGAUUCUUCCUGAAGAAACCUGGAGGAUGAGCACAAAUAAGCAGAAUAGAAAAAUCCUGGGAAAUAAGAGGCAGUAUUGUUUUCUUUUCAUUCCUGUUUACUUCUGGAAAUUGAUUACAUUAGGAUUUAAGAAAGCCUAAAAGACAGGAGAUCAGAAAGAAAAUGAAAUACCUCAAAAAUUCACUCAACAUUAAUGGAAAAAUACCCUGAAAGGGAAAUCCUGCCAAUAGUUGCAUCUGUGCUUUUUGCAAGAUUGUGAUAAAAAAGCAAAAGAAAUCUCUUCAUUUUCAAGAUAGCAUCACAAAGAAAGCAACCAGACAUGGAACCAUCUCCCACCCUUCUGCCAGCAGCUGGUGUGUAUGAUGUUCUUGGAUGCCCUAAAGUUUAGGCAGUCUGAUCCACCUGAUCCGUGUAACAGGAAUCAAAGAUGUUUCUCCAUCUACAAACCUAAGCACAAGCUCUCUGAAAAUGAAGAGGACAAAUGGAAAGUUAUAGUCUGAGAAAAUAAAUAGGGACAUCUAGCUCUUGAGGGGGCAAACUUGUGGACCAGUCCUCUCAUGUGGCAAUGCAUUAUGAGCAACAAAAAAGGUUCUUCUACUCUGGUAUUUUUCACAGUUCAGCUUCAGCCACCGGCUGCACAAACAGGACCGUUACUGAUGGCUCCAGUUUGCUGCAUCACGUGCACCAUGGUACUUCCCAACAUCCAGAGCUCAGUAUUUCUGCUGUAAAGAAUAUGGACAUAAAGACCAGCCUGCAGAUUUGUGUCCCUGAAUUACUUCCACUUGAGGAAAAAGCUGUGUACUGUUGGAUAGGAUCCUGAAACAUAAUUUAAAAGCAUCAUUGGCAGAAAAAACCCAACACCCUGAAGUGGAGGAAGAACAUGCUUGAACAUUAUUCGAGUCAUGGAACUGUAGAGAAGCAGAUAUUGAUAUGAUGCAGUUCAUGUGUGACAGGGUACCAGAUGGACAGUCUUCUAGAAGUCAACUCCACCUUCCCUAAGUCAUGACUAGUCUCUUUGUAGGCCAUAUUUUUUAGGGAAUAGCUCAGCAUGUGUAUGAGCUUCCCAGUCCUAAAUUCUUUUAAGCUGCAUAUUUCUUCUGGAGUGAAAACUAAAGACUGUGUAGCCCAUGAGCUGCUGUGAAGGCAUCAAAGUAACAUUCCUCACUUUUAGGGCAUUGGUGUGGUGGCAUGCAGGAACUUAAUGUUCUGUGCAAUUUAUGAUUUUCUACUUUGCUGAAGAAAUAAUUCUGUUUUUAGGUUUAUGAACUUGCAGCCUGGAAUGCAGAGUACUGCAAGUCAGAAAUAAUUUUAUCUAUCAGCUGCUCUGUCUUAAAUGAAGAAAUAUUAUAUAUUGUUAAUAACCUGAUCCAGAGUUUGUGAAA